rnacentral:rRNA from 1 species
GUGCCAGCCGCCGCGGUAAUACGUAUGGGGCAAGCGUUAUCCGGAUUCAUUGGGCGUAAAGAGCGCGUAGGCGGCUUGUUAAGUUAGAUGUGAAAUCCGGGGGCUUAACCCGCGGUCUGCAUCUAAAACUGGCAGGCUUGAGUCUGGUAGAGGAAAGUGGAAUUCCCAGUGUAGCGGUGAAAUGCGCAGAUAUUGGGAGGAACACCAGUGGCGAAGGCGGCUUUCUGGGCCACGACUGACGCUGAGGCGCGAAAGCUAGGGGAGCAAACAGGAUUAGAAACCCUGGUAGUCC